rnacentral:lncRNA from 1 species
GUUUUUGAUGUAAAAUGCAGCGGGAAUUCCCAUGUCAUCAUCCCAUUCAAAAUGAAUAUUGAAUGCAGAUUCACCAGCUCCCAAGGUUGGUAACGAGGCAAUGAUACCUUCCAAAAACGUAUCCUUUCCUACUUUCCCUUUUCCAUUUGAUACAAUGAAAUUCAUUAAGUAUAAAAUACUCAUCAAUUGAAAAUAAAAAGAAUAAAAAGAAAAUAAAGAAUGAAUUACGAUCGGAUUUGGUAGCACUAAUGAGCUGGAGAGAGACACUGCGGCCCAAAAAGGCAGUGAGGCCAUCGACAGUUGAACCAAUGAGAUUGAUGCCGGAGUCGAUAACUCCACGGACGUUACCACCACCAAUACUAAUAAUUGUGUUAUAG